UAGGGAAUCUUCCACAAUGGACGAAAGUCUGAUGGAGCAACGCCGCGUGAGUGAAGAAGGGUUUCGGCUCGUAAAGCUCUGUUGGUAGUGAAGAAAGAUAGAGGUAGUAACUGGCCUUUAUUUGACGGUAAUUACUUAGAAAGUCACGGCUAACUACGUGCCAGCAGCCGCGGUAAUACGGAGGGUGCAAGCGUUAAUCGGAAUAACUGGGCGUAAAGGGCAUGCAGGCGGUUUAUCAAGUAGGAUGUGAAAGCCCCGGGCUCAACCUGGGAAUUGCAUUCUAAACUGAUAGACUAGAGUAUUGCAGGGGGAGACGGAAUUCCAGGUGUAGCGGUGGAAUGCGUAGAUAUCUGGAAGAACACCAAAGGCGAAGGCAGUCUCCUGGGCAAAUA
rnacentral:rRNA from 1 species